rnacentral:rRNA from 1 species
AUUGAACGCUGGCGGCAGGCUUAACACAUGCAAGUCGAGCGAGCGGCGGACGGGUGAGUCAUGUCUGGGAAACUGCCUGAUGGAGGGGGCUAACUACUGGAAACGGUAGCUAAUACCGCAUACCAUCAGAUGUGCCCAGAUGGGAUUAGCUAGUAGGUGGGGUAAUGGCUCACCUGGGCGACGAUCCCUAGCUGGUCUGAGAGGAUGACCAGCCACACUGGAGCUGAGACACGGGCCAGACUCCUACGUGAAGCAGCAGUGGGGAAUAUUGCACAUUGGGCGCAAGCCUGAUGCAGCCAUGCCGCGUGUGUGAAGAGGGCCUUCGAGUUGUAAAGCACUUGCAGCGAGGAGGCGUUACUCGCAGAAGAAGCACCGGCUAACUCCGUGCCAGCAGCCGCGGUAAUAC